rnacentral:rRNA from 1 species
CCUACGGGCGGCAGCAGUGAGGAAUAUUGGUCAAUGGACGAGAGUCUGAACCAGCCAAGUAGCGUGAAGGAUGACUGCCCUAUGGGUUGUAAACUUCUUUUAUAUGGGAAUAAAACGUUCCACGUGUGGGAUUUUGUAUGUACCAUAUGAAUAAGGAUCGGCUAACUCCGUGCCAGCAGCCGCGGUAAUACGGAGGAUCCGAGCGUUAUCCGGAUUUAUUGGGUUUAAAGGGAGCGUAGGUGGAUUGUUAAGUCAGUUGUGAAAGUUUGUGGCUCAACCGUAAAAUUGCAGUUGAAACUGGCAGUCUUGAGUACAGUAGAGGUGGGCGGAAUGCGUGGUGUAGCGGUGAAAUGCUUAGAGAUCACGAAGAACUCCGAUUGCGAAGGCAGUUCACUGGACUGCAACUGACACUGAGGCUCGAAAGUGUGGGUAUCAAACAGGAUUAGAUACCCUAGUAGUC